rnacentral:rRNA from 1 species
UACAGAGGGUGCAAGCGUUAAUCGGAGUUACUGGGCGUAAAGGGCGUGUAGGCGGAUAUUUAAGUCGGAUGUGAAAUCCCUGGGCUUAACCUAGGAAUUGCAUUCGAUACUGGAUGUUCUAGAGUAUGGUAGAGGAAAGCGGAAUUCUCGGUGUAGUGGUUAAAUACGUAGAUAUCGAGAAGAACACCGGUGGCGAAGGCGGCUUUCUGGACCAAUACUGACGCUGAGGCGCGAGAGCGUGGGGAGCAAACAGG